GAUGAACGCUGGCGGCGUGCUUAACACAUGCAAGUCGAACGAAGCACCUUAUUUGAUUUUCUUCGGAACUGAAGAUUUGGUGACUGAGUGGCGGACGGGUGAGUAACGCGUGGGUAACCUGCCCUGUACAGGGGGAUAACAAUCAGAAAUGACUGCUAAUACCGCAUAAGACCACAGCACCGCAUGGUGCAGGGGUAAAAACUCCGGUGGUACAGGAUGGACCCGCGUCUGAUUAGCUGGUUGGUGAGGUAACGGCUCACCAAGGCGACGAUCAGUAGCCGGCUUGAGAGAGUGAACGGCCACAUUGGGACUGAGACACGGCCCAAACUCCUACGGGAGGCAGCAGUGGGGAAUAUUGCACAAUGGGGGGAACCCUGAUGCAGCGACGCCGCGUGAGUGAAGAAGUAUCUCGGUAUGUAAAGCUCUAUCAGCAGGGAAGAAAAUGACGGUACCUGACUAAGAAGCCCC
rnacentral:rRNA from 1 species